GAACGCUGGCGGCAUGCUUACACAUGCAAGUCGAACGGCAGCAUAGGCUUCGGCCUGAUGGCGAGUGGCGAACGGGUGAGUAAUACAUCGGAACGUGCCUGGUAUGGGGGAUAACACAUCGAAAGAUGUGCUAAUACCGCAUGAGAUCUAAGGAUGAAAGCAGGGGACUUUCGGGCCUUGUGCUACCAGAGCGGCUGAUGGCAGAUUAGGUAGUUGGUGGGGUAAGGGCUCACCAAGCCUGCGAUCUGUAGCUGGUCUGAGAGGACGACCAGCCACACUGGGACUGAGACACGGCCCAGACUCCUACGGGAGGCAGCAGUGGGGAAUUUUGGACAAUGGGCGCAAGCCUGAUCCAGCAAUGCCGCGUGCCAGGAUGAAGGCCCUCGGGUUGUAAACUGCUUUUGUACGGAACGAAAGGGGCUUCUCUAAUAAAGGGGCCAUAUGGCGGUACCGUAAGAAUAAGCACCGGCUAACUACGUGCCAGCAGCAGC
rnacentral:rRNA from 1 species